CCUACGGGAGGCAGCAGUGAGGAAUAUUGGUCAAUGGCCGGAAGGCUGAACCAGCCAUGCCGCGUGAAGGUCAGUGCCCUAUGGGCGUUAAACUUCUUUUGUGCGGGAGCAAUAAUGGUCACGUGUGGCCAGACGAGAGUACCGUACGAAUAAGCAUCGGCUAACUCCGUGCCAGCAGCCGCGGUAAUACGGGGGAUGCAAGCGUUAUCCGGAUUUAUUGGGUUUAAAGGGUGCGUAGGCUGUGAGGUAAGUCAGCGGUGAAAUGCCCCCGCUCAACGGGGUGAAGUGCCAUUGAUACUGCCUUGCUGGAGUGCGGAUGCCGUGGGAGGAAUGUGUGGUGUAGCGGUGAAAUGCAUAGAUAUCAGACAGAACACCGAUUGCGAAGGCAGCUCACGAAUCCGCGAUUGACGCUGAUGCACGAAAGCGUGGGUAUCAAACAGGAUUAGAUACCCUAGUAGUC
rnacentral:rRNA from 1 species